UACGUAGGGUGCGAGCGUUGUCCGGAAUUAUUGGGCGUAAAGCGCACGUAGGCGGCUUUGCAAGUCGGAUGUGAAAUCCCUCGGCUUAACCAAGGAAGUGCAUCCGAAACUGCAGAGCUUGAGUACUUAAGAGGAUCGCGGAAUUCCCGGUGUAGAGGUGAAAUUCGUAGAUAUCGGGAGGAACACCAGUGGCGAAGGCGGCGAUCUGGGAAGAUACUGACGCUGAGGUGCGAAAGCGUGGGGAGCAAACAGG
rnacentral:rRNA from 1 species